rnacentral:rRNA from 1 species
UACAGAGGUCUCAAGCGUUGUUCGGAUUCAUUGGGCGUAAAGGGUGUGUAGGUGGCGCGCUAAGUCGGGUGUGAAAUUUCGGAGCUUAACUCCGAAACUGCAUUCGAUACUGGCGUGCUUGAGGACUGGAGAGGAGACUGGAAUUUACGGUGUAGCAGUGAAAUGCGUAGAUAUCGUAAGGAAGACCAGUGGCGAAGGCGGGUCUCGUGGACAGUUCCUGACGCUGAGGCACGAAGGCCAGGGGAGCAAACGGG